CUUGAGGCAAGUCUAUUCCUAUUUGAUAUCUAUUCUAAAAGAGCAAGAGGUGAUGUUGCAAUCCCGCAGAGUGUGUUUGCUACUCUUUUUAAUUUUGGCAGUUUUGCUUUAUUUACAGUUUAAAGUAUUGAUCAAGGGAAGAAGAGAAACUGUCACUCAGGGCAGAAGACAACACAUUAAAACUACUCUUGAAGAUGAUCUGAUAAAUGGAAAGCUACUAAAAUGUUUUGAUUCACUCAAUUUAUCCAAAUUUGUCAACAAA